rnacentral:rRNA from 1 species
UACCUUUUGUAUAAUGGGUCAGCGACUUAUAUUCUGUAGCAAGGUUAACCGAAUAGGGGAGCCGAAGGGAAACCGAGUCUUAACUGGGCGUUAAGUUGCAGGGUAUAGACCCGAAACCCGGUGAUCUAGCCAUGGGCAGGUUGAAGGUUGGGUAACACUAACUGGAGGACCGAACCGACUAAUGUUGAAAAAUUAGCGGAUGACUUGUGGCUGGGGGUGAAAGGCCAAUCAAACCGGGAGAUAGCUGGUUCUCCCCGAAAGCUAUUUAGGUAGCGCCUCGUGAAUUCAUCUCCGGGGGUAGAGCACUGUUUCGGCAAGGGGGUCAUCCCGACUUACCAACCCGAUGCAAACUGCGAAUACCGGAGAAUGUUAUCACGGGAGACACACGGCGGGUGCUAACGUCCGUCGUGAAGAGGGAAACAACCCAGACCGCCAGCUAAGGUCCCAAAGUCAUGGUUAAGUGGGAAACGAUGUGGGAAGGCCCAGACAGCCAGGAUGUUGGCUUAGAAGCAGCCAUCAUUUAAAGAAAGCGUAAUAGCUCACUGGUCGAGUCGGCCUGCGCGGAAGAUGUAACGGGGCUAAACCAUGCAC